GAUGAACGCUGGCGGCGUGCCUAAUACAUGCAAGUCGAGCGAACAGAUGAGGAGCUUGCUCCUCUGACGUUAGCGGCGGACGGGUGAGUAACACGUGGAUAACCUACCUAUAAGACUGGGAUAACUUCGGGAAACCGGAGCUAAUACCGGAUAAUAUAUUGAACCGCAUGGUUCAAUAGUGAAAGACGGUUUUGCUGUCUCUUAUAGAUGGAUCCGCGCCGCAUUAGCUAGUUGGUAAGGUAACGGCUUACCAAGGCAACGAUGCGUAGCCGACCUGAGAGGAGGAUCGGCCACACUGGAACUGAGACACGGUCCAGACUACUACGGGAGGGAGCAGUAGGGAAUCUUCCACAAUGGGCGAAAGCAUGACGGAGCGAUGCCGCGUGAGUGAUGAGGGUCUUCGGAUCGUAAAGCUCUGUUAUGAGGGAAGAACAAAUGUGUAAGUAACUAUGCACGUCUUGACGGUACCUAAUCAAAAAGCCACGGCUAACUACGUG
rnacentral:rRNA from 1 species